GUGGGCCAAUAGUAUUCUUGUCACAAGACUUUAUAAGCUAAUAAUUUAUCCCCCAAGUGAUUUUCAUAAAUUUCUUCAUGAACUUCUCAGAGUGCAUAGUCGGCAUCCGUUGGUCUCAAACACUUCAGUGAGAAAAAAGAGAAUAACCUUUUAUAGAGUUAUCCAUUCAUUAAAAUAUAUUGUGAGGCUAUCCACUGUAGUCAUUUGGCUUCUGAAAAAUCUGCAGGUA
rnacentral:lncRNA from 1 species